ensembl:lncRNA
AGUGCUGAUCACUGCUGGGCCCAGGAAAGCCCUACAAAGAGGUCCCUGCAGGGAAUCAGCCCUGUCCGGGGCUAAUUGAUUCCCCUGAAGACUUGCAUCUUUGCCAUCUUUGUGGUCAAGGAGAAAGGAUUGAUGAGGUGCAUUAAAACCUAUCUGGGGCUUUCUUUGUAAACAAAUUGUUUAGAGUUCUCAGAUUUCGAUCUAAAUAGUUACAAACUUUAUCAGGCUCUGCUGCAGUGUUGUUCAAAAUAGGAUGCUGCAAUUAUCACUCCAUUGCCAGCUUGGAAAUGAGACAGGCAGGCGCCGUUGGCUGCUGGACAGCACUGGCUAGGCCGCUGCUCUGAGGCCCACCCGGGAGAGUCGUCCUUGGACGUUUCCACAGGGCAUGCUACCUUCUUUCUGAUACACUUCUGUGUGUCCAGGCAGGAUGGCCGUGGAGCAGCGUGAACUGGCUUCCCAGUUGCAAGAGCCUUCUCACCAGGAGAGUGUCCAGGGUUUGCUGUGUUGGCCCCCAGCUCCAGGAACACAGAAGGGGACAUUCUGUUUCCUGACUUCAGGACGGGAAGAGACCACUGCAGCGUUUGUGUCCGGGAGCUCGGUGCUCAGGGUCCAACACCCUCAGUGGGUUCCCAGCACCACACCCGGAGAAACCAGAGCAUCACGGCAGGAGGGAAGCAGCCAUGUCUGGCACCUGUGACAGGGGACGUUACUGUCAAUGAUUAUGGUUUUCCCUCAUGUCCACGUCCCAGGUGGGGAGAGGGGUAGAGAGUUCAGAAGAGGCCAUCAGAGUCAGGUGUACUCCUAUUGUUCAUCUCUGCAUUUUAUUUUUUUUAAUCUAUAAAAAACAUUUGCUUAGGAAAGUGUCAAUCAACUGAAUGUUUGUGCACCCCAGAUUCGCGUGUUGACGCACCAACCCUCUAUGUGACUGUAUUUGGAGAAGGGGCCUUGACAGAGGUAAUUAAGAAUGGAAGAGGUGACAAGAGGGGUAGUGUGCGUGGUGGAAUAGGAUUAGUGUCCCAGGAAGAGGGGCAAUGGAGAGCUCGCUCUCCCACAUGAGGACAGUGGGAGGGGGCACUGGUCUACAAGCUGCCAAGGAACCAAGCUGGCCACUACCUUGACCUUGGUCUCUCAGCUUCCAGGACUAUGAGAAACGUCUGUUGUUUAUGUGACCCAAUGUGUGGCACAGUAAACAGAAUAACGCAGAAGGCAGUCACAGUUGUGAGGAUUCGGGCUGAGCUGUGGCACUCAGAUUGUCCAUCAGCUCCGGAUUUAUGGAAUCUUCAGCUAACAUUUUGAGUCUCUUUGUGUUCCAGGUCUGUCCCAGGUAUUCGACAUUGAAAGAUCUGUAAGACAUGGAUCUUACCUUGUAGGGUCACUGAUCCCGUUGCUAAUGGGUAGUUAAUAACCAGCCUGCAAUCUGGCAGAAUGAGGCAGCAAGAACGGGUACCCUGUACCUCCUGGGCAAACACGCUUGGGUGGAGGGAGGCUUUCAGAAAUGGUGCAGAAAUGAAUAUGAGUCGACCACAGAUCUAAACUCAAAUGAAAAUUUAAAACCACUCCCAAAGUAGUUUAUCUCCCUACUCAUUUUUCGCAAAGUGAGAGCUGUGCUCCCUCUCGCUCCCUAGAGUACUGUGACAAGCAGAACAAGGAGAGAGGACAGAAGCAAUUUUCCUAGGUUUAAAGAGCUACAGGUUUCA